rnacentral:rRNA from 1 species
GAUGAACGCUGGCGGCGUGCCUAAUACAUGCAAGUCGAACGCUGGAAAUCUAGCUUGCUCGAUUGAAGGAGUGGCGAACGGGUGAGUAAUACAUAAGCAACCUACCCACGAAGACUGGGAUAAUCUCUGGAAACGGGGACUAAUACCGGAUAGGUAAUCGGAAGGCAUCUUCUGAUUAUUAAAGGUUAAAAACACUGGUGGAUGGGCUUAUGGCGCAUUAGUUAGUUGGUGAGGUAACGGCCCACCAAGACGAUGAUGCGUAGCCGGCCUGAGAGGGUGAACGGCCACAUUGGGACUGAGACACGGCCCAGACUCCUACGGGAGGCAGCAGUAGGGAAUUUUCGGCAAUGGGGGAAACCCUGACCGAGCAACGCCGCGUGAGUGAUGACGGCCUUCGGGUUGUAAAGCUCUGUUGUAAGGGAAGAACGGUAGAUAGAGAAUAACUAAAUGACGGUACCUUACCAGAAAGCCACGGCUAACUACGUG